rnacentral:misc_RNA from 1 species
UCCUCGUUUAAGCGAGGCAGUCUGUCCGCCGUUGUCUAGCCCAGGUAAGGUUCUUCGCGUUGCGUCGAAUUGAACCACAUGCUCCACCGCUUGUGCGGGCCCCCGUCAAUUCCUUUGAGUUUUAAUCUUGCGACCGUACUCCCCAGGCGGGGCACUUAAUGCGUUAGCUGCGGCACCCAGGGGGUCAAUACCCCGGACACCUAGUGCCCAUCGUUUACAGCGUGGACUAC